AGUGAACGCUGGCGGUAGGCCUAACACAUGCAAGUCGAACGGCAGCACAGUAAGAGCUUGCUCUUACGGGUGGCGAGUGGCGGACGGGUGAGGAAUACAUCGGAAUCUACUUUUUCGUGGGGGAUAACGUAGGGAAACUUACGCUAAUACCGCAUACGACCUACGGGUGAAAGCAGGGGAUCUUCGGACCUUGCGCGAUUGAAUGAGCCGAUGUCGGAUUAGCUAGUUGGCGGGGUAAAGGCCCACCAAGGCGACGAUCCGUAGCUGGUCUGAGUGGAUGGUCAGCCACAUUGGAACUGAGACGCGGUCCAGACUCCUACGGGAGGCAGCAGUGGGGAAUAUUGGACAAUAGGCGCAAGCCUGAUCCAACUAUACCGCGUGGGUGAAGAAGGCCUUCGGGUUGUAAAGCCCUUUUGUUGGGAAAGAAAAGCAGCAGGUUAAUACCCCGCUGUUCUGACGGUACCCAAAGAAUAAGCACCGGCUAACUUCGUG
rnacentral:rRNA from 1 species